AAAGUUCGAACUAAAUGAAGCGGAACUCAGAAAAGAAAGCAACGAGAAAGCAUCUUUUUAGGUUCGUUUUAUGAAAGUUUCAAAGGCGUCUAUUUUUUAAGAGAGACACCUAACAUGACAUUUCCUCACGUCAACAGGAGCGUGAUGUCGCUGAACGCUGUCAGUGUCGGGUCAGCAAUGACUGGUUCAUAAUGAAGAGAGUAACGAAAAGUGCCACACGCCACAACUGAGACUUAAAUCUAACAUUUCUGAACCCUCAAGCCAAAAAAAAAAAAACCUACUACACUGUUGGGAUAAAAACUAAAUCUUUUUUGCUACACAACCUGAAGACCUUGUGUUAAGAUAUGUCCAUGUUCCGUGGAGACAUGACUGUGAAAGAAUGUGAUGGAGCUGCAUCGUUGGAUUAAAGACAGAAGUCAGUUUAUCCUGAAGAGCAGCAGAAGUGACUGUGUGGUCCUGGAGGUUUGGUACAGAUCAAACAUGCUGUCACAUUCCUGACCCUGGGAGAAGUUUUCACUGAGUGUGAAAGACGACCUGCCAGAAGCAGCUGCAAAUGUCCUGGAAAAUACUAUGAAGAAAAGAGUGGGAACCAAACAGCUGAGCCUGACAAACAGAUGAUGUCUGUUACAUUAAUACAUUCAUGAACUGUGAGAAGCAGCAGCGGCAGUAACAUGCCACAAAUAUCUCUUUGUGAAUCCUCAACCGUCUCCUUGUCUGCUCAGCUGUCAAUCACCCACAUGAUGUCACAGUUCCAGCUCUAUGCUCUAAGGUGGUCACGUGGUGUUUCAUCUUGGAGUUGAUUUUUUUGUCUUUUGUCUUCAGAUCAAAUGACUUCAUCUCUGGGGUUUAGACCCUGACUUUUUAUUGUGAGAAACUUUAACAGGCAGCAAUGAUAACAAUGAGACAUUUUUACUAACCUAUUCUUUACUGUUAUAUUUACAGUUUAACAGUUUAUUAUCUACAUUAAAUUUUAAUAUUAAAAUUAUACAUUUUUAAUAUUAAGAUACUUUAUAGUACUAUAUAAAAAGUGUUCAUAUAGUACAAAAAUGUUCCAAACUAUUCCUAAAUUCAGCAAGUGCUCCUUUAGUAGGAAAUAUAUGGCUUGACUUUUCUAUUGAUGGUGUACUGAAUCCUACUUUCUGCUCUACACACGUACGUUAUCAGUUUGUGUUUUGUUUAUUCAGCCAUUUAUUCAAACCAGAUUACUUGUAUGUGACCAGUCACAUAGAUUCAAACUCUGGUUCUGGUUCUGGUCCUAGUUGUCUGUGGACACUGGUAUAUACUGUGUGUAAUGUCUUUUUCAGACGGGUCAUCUGUCCACACCUUAUUAGCAUGGUAAUGUUUUCUUCAGUUGUAGACAGUUUUACAGGUGACCUGUGACCUUGUGGACCAAUCACAGGGCUGUGCUGACAGCUUUAUAAAUACGUCUUUUUUUAUUCAGCAUAGACGGUCUUCAGUGUCUUGCUUUUCUACUGUUAGUAUUUCUAAAUGAACAGUGACACAAAUAACAGAUUCCACCCUACAAUAUUCAUUCAUGUGAUUCAAUUACAGCACUUCUAGUAAAAUAAAGAUACUGUGUAGAAUCCUUUAAAAAUGGAAAAGGAACUUCAAUCAUUUUUUUCAAUAAGUUAAAUGAAAUUUGCAUUUGUUUAUUAGCCUAUUAUACGUAUUACAAACGCUGAUCAAUAAUUGUGAUAUCUUUAUUUAAAUCAUAUUGUUUUCAUCAUAUUGUUUUUAGUUUUUAAAUAUGUAACCCAAAAAGCAGGAAAAGUCUCGGGUUUAAUGUUUAAGUGGGAACAGAUAUGGCUUUAUUGGAUCUGUGCUGACAUCUAGUGGCUAAACCAGAAAAAGCAGGUUGACGGAAUAAAUUGAUAGCGACUUAAGCGAAACGAUUCUAAUUUAAUCUUUUAACCCUUGUGUGGUACUUCGGGUCCCAAUGUGCCUUUGUUGUGUGCGUGUGCAUGCUCCUGUACUGCACGCCUUGUGCCAACUUUCCCUCAUCUUCAUUCAUACUCAUAUUCUGGGACAAGAUGAAAAUUUGUUGCAAGGACACUGGGUGUGUACAAAAAUGCGAAGGACAACAGGAGGGUUAAGUUAUAAUAAAACACAAAACAACACAAUAUUUGUAAUGAUUACAAAGAUGUUUAUUUAUUUCAGCUUGUUUUUUUUUAUAAACUGUAUGGCUCUAACAUGAUUCACAUUACGUACAAAAGAACUGGUCUAGCAAAUAACUGAUUUUUUUUAACAGAUUCAUUAUUUUAAUAUAAAUGAUAAGACACUACUUAAUUUUCCUCUUUUAUUUUUUUCACCAAAACCAAAUGAAAACAUGUCCAUGUUCACGCAAGACUAAUACAUCCCAACAACUUAAAAAAAUAUAAAUAUACAUAACAAGACCAAACUAAAAGCAUCAACCAGAAACAUACAGCCAGUCUCUGGUCCAGACAGAUCGUGUUCACUUUAA